AUGGUUUCAUGUCUUUGUGAAUUUAAUCCUGUCAUUUCUAUUGAUCACUUUGGCUGUGGAGACCAAGAAGGAGAAAAGGACAGGGGCCCAAGGAAAACUUCGCCUUCUCCCUCUGAAGGUUUGUUGAAAAUCACUGACAAGAGGCAGAUUAAUAGGAGGAAAAUCAUACAAAUUUAUUUUUAAUGUGCACAUGGGAGUCUUCGGAAUGAAGACCCAAAGACACAGGAGAGUUUGUCUAUUUUUAUGCUUAGGCUCAACAAAGUGUGAAUAGUCAUAUGAAGAUACAACUGGACAAAAAGGGUCUGAUCUAAUGCUAACAGACUAAGUGGGGAAACCCAGCAAGGGCUGUCUGUGUAGAUUCUUCUUGGCCAGUCUGAGUAUCUAUUCCUUUCUUCUGGGUAUGGGGCAGAAUCCUCUGGAAUGGGGGGCUUAUGACCUACAGUCAAGCAAGGUAGAUCAGAUCAUUUCUUUAUGGCUAGCUUUUACUCAGAAAGGUGGAAGGGGGGAUUAGAGUAAUAUUUUUGGGUAGUUUGGCUGGUAUUGGGGAAAGAGGAGUUCUGCUUUCUAUGACAUCCCUUGGGGAAAAGGGGUUCCGGGGGUUCUACUUUUUCUGGCUGGCCCAGAGGGAGAACUGGACUGAGACAGGAGAGCAGGAAAAGGUCAGGGAAAAACUUUUGCUUCUGAAGCUGCUUCUGAGACUUUCACUUUGGGUUAUUGUUUUCUGAGUCCCCACACCAACAUAAUAGGGGUGUUCUCCAAUUCCCAAAUGAAAAAAA
rnacentral:lncRNA from 1 species